ACAUCUGUUCGAGAGAGCACAACUUUGGUCGCAACGCCCUCUUACGCUACGCACUCGGUUUUUGCCGGGCGGGAUUUUCUUCCUCCUCGCUCCAACACUCGCGGGGAAAAAUAAGGGUGAAGUAGUGAAGUGGAGGGGUGGGGAGGAGGAGGAGGGAAAAGCAAAGUUUUGAUUGACAACAAAGGAGCGAGUUCGGGCCGGUGUAAGCGCCUUUUGGAACACAUCGUGUCGGGCCUCUGUUGCGAGCAGAGAGGAGUUCGUCAUGCUCGCUGUUCGUGUAACGCGGGCUUUUGUGGCCGAAGUCGUGCGGCCUUCCGAGUCGUCGGCGCGUGAGAUGUGGACGACUGCAGCUGCCGGAGGAGGAGGAAGCCUGGAGGGGGGGGGGAGAUGAGAUAAUCACCCCCUGACAGGUCUACCGACAGGACGAAACAUUCGGCCGGGCAAGAGGUCGAAGAUGAAGUUUUAAUUACGACUUUAUUCUCACAACAGUUUUGAUUCCAGGCAAACGUGAGACAUCGAGUGACUGGGAACGGAAAAAAUAGAGAAGACACCUCUUCGCGCCUCUACAAGACAUCGCUGGGGCCUCGAUCCGGCUCGGCUCGCGUCGGCCAUCAUCGGCUCUCUUCGUCCGGGCAGGCGGUACAGCCACUGCCCGCGCGCCACGGACCGGCGCCCGUACAGUCGCCGCCGCGCGACUGUGGAACCCCCGCCGGCUUCUGGAGCAAGCACAUCCCCCGAGAGGCAGACCAGACGCAAAUGUUACAUUUGCAUUACAGCUUCAUGGAAACUAUGGUUGCUGGAUCUCUCAUAACACUGCAAAUGAACAUGUCACUUUACUGUGAAAUAUCUUAAGACUAUCUCAUAAAAUUCCUCCUAGAAUUUUUAAUAAAUUUAAUGAUAAUUUAACCAUUUUCAUUAUGUGAAUGGUUGUUCACGUGGUUAAGUGUGAGAAAAGACUGGUGAAUUGCAUUCUGCACAACCAAAGACAGAAUAAAUGAAAACUUAAAAUUAACGCAAUUCAGUUACUACGUAUAGUUUCAUUGUUUAUGUUAAAUGUGGAGAAAUAGCGUUAAUUUGGUUAGUUUAAUAGUAACAUAAUUGCAAAAAAUUACAAAAAUGUAUUUGAAGUGUUAUAGAAAAAAAAUUGGCAACUAAAUAUUUUGCAAAGAAUUAUUAAUAAACGUCACAAACAUUCUUAAUUACGUGUGCUAUUUAUAUACUGAAUUUUCAGCAUGUUUUGUUUUAGUCAUCUUCAAGUGGAAGACUAAGAGCCUUGAAUUUUGGCGUUUGUGUUCAUAUAUAGCCAGUGAAAUGUAAGGCGAGUAGUGAUUGGUACACUUGGGGUAUCCGCCCAAUCAGGUGUCAGGUAUGAAGCACUGAUAACUGCUGCUGAACACGUCACCGCGGAACGAUAACUCUGCUGCCAAUCACAGUAGGGCAUAUGGAACAUUAUCUGAGGCUGUUAAUAGACUGAUUGUAUGACUGAUGUAACUAUAUUGUUAUAAAGAUUGUCAUUGAUGUAA